CUGUAGAUGGCUGGAGCCUUCUGAAGUGGUGUGGUUACUCUGUGUGGCUUGAAGCUCUCUGAUAUUGUAUGGUGGCAAUCUGUGUAUUGUGGCUGUCUUGGCUGUGAAGGUGCUAUUCAACCUUUGAGUCUCUUGGAGGAGGAAAGAUGAGAAAAAGAAGCCAUUAUCUUGUAUGUGAUUUACUCCCCUCUAAUCAUUAACAAGGCUAUUAAAAGGUGGAUGUGGAUGAAAAUUCUGGGUAGUGUGUAGGAAAAUAAUAUGGCCGAGGAUCAAGAAUGAACCUGGAAACCAACAGAUUUUGAAGGGCAGAGGUGAGAGACUCAGAGAAGGGAAGAGAAACCUGAAAGAAAAUGAAAUGAGGAGGAAAGAAUAGAGCAAAAACUGUGAUCUGACUCUUUCCAGUCCCUUACGGUAGCUGAAGUGCUUUUCUGUUAAGAUGCCUCCUCUCUUCCCUAAAAUGCUGCAGUUUAAUCUGAAUCCUGAACAAACCUUCUUUUCAUGAAAGGCAGAGCCUUUUGGAAUCACACAGCUUUUCUCCACAAUGGAAAUCUGUGUGUGCAUCAUGAAGAAGAUAAAUAUGUAUAUGAAGAAGUGUCCCCGGGGUCUUUUCCGAAGCAAUGAAGCAUCCUUGUUUCGGGUUACAAUGGCAGCUUGAGGGCAGCAUUUCCAUCCAGAAGAAAAUGGCUGUGACUCUUCAUAAAUAGAGCCCUUCUUGGAAAAUGAGAUAAAAUGCAUAACCAGGAAUGUGUUAACCAAAGAGAGAAGAGAAACAUCAGCAAAAUGAAAAUGAACGGCUGACACAUAGUUGGGGAAAGGUUACCAGUGGGAAUUUCUUUGUCUGAAUGGAUGUUUUGUUGUAUAAAUAGAUGUGUUUUUGUCAUUAUAUGAGCUGCUAGUAUUAAUUAAAAUUGUAAUCAAAUUUCCCUGGUGCUUUUCACACCUGAAAACAAUAGUCCUUCACACAGCUGUAAGGAUUCACUGAGUCAGAGUUUUCUGUUAAUGUUCAUAUCUUAUGUCCAGGUACCAGCUAAUUAGACUGUGCAUUUAAAGUGGGAUUGUUCUUUCUAUUUUUUUCCUCUGUGUUUUUGAGUAGAAAUGUUAGGCUGCUGCUGCAACAGAGCAGUAGCAAUGCUUUGUGACUGACAAAGCAUAUCAUAUUACAAGGUCCACAAUAGGUUUUGCAUGCCCAACACCUUUUUAUAAACGCUGGCUCCUGGCAAAUGUCAGCUGGUGGGAGAAAGAGCUGCUGGCCAGCCUAGCAGAGGGAUGCUGCCGCAUUGUCUCUGUGAAACAAGAUGACUGAAGGUUGUGGCCUGCAGCCUGGCUGUGUGAUGAACUCUCCAGUGUUUGCUUCUUGCCUCCCCCCCAGCUCCUUGAUUGAUACUGAUAGCAGCAGAAGAAAUGUGCCCACUUAGAUCCAUUUUAUAAAACGCACUGGCCCAGACCUAACCACUGGGCAUGCCAGGGGCUAUUGUCUGCCACUUUGUCCCUCAGAUACUCAGGGAAAUUCACGGGCUUUCAAGUCUAGCAAUUACUUUAUGCCUUUACCAGAAGGGAAGGAAAUAGGGUGAUACUUUUAAUAGUAAUUAAAAGGCAAGGAUAAAUUGUGAGCCUAAGUUGAAGCUGCUGGUUAUGAGAGCUCCCCAUAUUGAUUCAGCUUCCGGUUCUGGACCAUCUGUUGUUUCACAUCCUGAAUUCUGAGUAAAAGUCCAGAAGGACUUUACCUAAGCCAACAGAUAUUCCCUAGCAGAGGAAUACCCUUUUGAGUCUACUGUACAGGAGAGACAGAAUUGGAGGGUGAAGAAUGAAAGCUAUAGGUGCACAAGGACAUAUUUUCUUACUAUAUAGUUGGGGUUUUGUUUGCCUUCGUUUGAAAUGUGCAGGAUUCAUCUCAUUACUUGUUCCACAUAUCAGGGUCAUGCAUCCCUUCACACAGGCUUGAAAGA